rnacentral:misc_RNA from 1 species
AACUUUCAACAAUGGAUCUCUUGGCUCUCGCAUCGAUGAAGAACGCAGCGAAAUGAGAUAAGUAAUGUGAAUUGCAGAAUUCAGUGAAUCAUCGAAUCUUUGAACGCACCUUGCGCCCCGUGGCUUUCCACGGGGCACGCCCGUUCGAGUGUCACGUUAACCCUCGCCAACGGCGUAGCGAUACGCCGGGAAGCGGAUUUGGAUGUUGCCGGUCGUGAGAUCGGCUCGUCUCGAAAUGCAUUAGCGAAGUGCGAAGCACGUGCGACGUUGAUAAUUGUCUACGCCUCGUGGACUUUGUUCCUCGCUUCCAAUCGUCGCGAGACAAUUUACUCAAAGUUUGACCUCGAAUCGGGUGGGACUACCCGCUGAACUUAAGCAUAUCAAUAAGCGGAGGCU